CCCUGUAGCUCUCUCGAUGAAGGAGGCAGUUGGUAUUGACUGGUUGGAAGAGCAAAUACGCAUCGUAUAUUGCUCAGACACAUCCAACUUCAAUUUCAAGAUCGCAUGGUUGUGCCGGAUGGAUCAAAAUGACGGAGUUUAGGAAAUUCACCUUCUGGCUACGAUGAUAACACAACAGAGAGAUUAUCAGACUAUUUCAGGGUACUUUUCUCCUCUCCAAAUGUUUUCAAAUAUUUUUCAGAAUCUAUGCUAACCAGUUCCAAUUCACAAUGAUUAUUUCACCAACUCUACAUGACCUUCAACAAUUACAAAUCAUGAGUAAAUACGUUUUUUUUUCUCUCUGGCCAAAAACAAUUGGUCACUGUCAUCCAUAGAGAUUUCCCCAGACAUCUGAAGAACAUAAAAAAGAAAUGGCCGAUAACGGCCUCACAAUGUCAACCGAAGUCCAGCUAUAGGAAAAACAAAUGUCCCAAGCAAAAAGUAUAUGCUUCAUUCUUCCCAUUUCAUUUUUGGUGAUUUCUUCAAUACGCACGUCAAAACAUAUUAUAUAGAAACCAAAAUAUUUUUUUCAGGAUUUUAAACUGGGGGGUUAGAUUGAUCCAUUAGAGAAGCUGCUGCACUGCAAUGCUUUUCUAAAUAUAACAACGGAUGAAGAAAGAUAAACGAAAGAAAGUUACAUUUUAAAAUAUGAAUACGUCAAUCAGAAAACAAUGCGUCGUGAAACUUAGGUUAUGUUCGGGCAAAAAGCAAAUCAACCCAGAAAUGCAACAGCGAGACACAUUAUCAGCCAUUAGAAGAAGAACGCGGGAAUUUGGCGAGAUUCACUUUUAAUUAAUUUGAAAUAUUUCACUUUCUUUUAUCAGCAUCACCGAUCGCCAUGCUCUACACAACAGUUUUAAUUGUAAAUCCUUUACGUGGUAUGUCGAAAAAGUUUACACCAACAAAACGGCGGAGAAGGGAAUGAAUAAAUGGUCGGGAAUGUGAUGCAGCGAGCGAAUGUCCGGCUGGUCUGGCAAUUAACUAAAUUUUUACCUCAUCAAUCACCAAAGGAUUGAUUUUUUUGGAACUUAAAUAUU